CGCGCCACUGCACUCCAGCCUGGGUGACAGAGCAAGACUCCGUCUCAAAAAAAACCCCAAAAAACCUGUGGCUUCUGCCUUGUCUUCUGUCCCUGGGAUUACUCCCUCUGGGAGAAAGCAGGUGUCAUGUCAAGGGGACACCCAAACAGCUCUGUGGAGAGUUCAGUGCCAUGAGGAACUAAGAUCUCCUCCCACAGCCGUGCAGCCGUGUCGGGAACUUGAGGGUGAAUCCCCAAGCACAGUGAAAUCUUCGGAUGACAGCAGCCCCAGCAGCAUCUUGAUUGCCGCCUCGUGAGUGAUCCUAAAACAGAAACUUUCAGCUAAUUUGCCUCCUCAUUUCUGACCCACACAAACUGAGAUUCAAAAACGUGUUGCUUGUGUUAAGCCCUCAAGUUCUGGGGUAAUUUGUUACACAACAAUAGAGUGCCUGAAGGAUCAAUGUCGUACCCACACCUCUGACUUCUCACAUUUACAAUUGGUAGCAAGGAGGAACAGCAGCUGCCUUCAUUUGUAGCAGCCCUUCUCUGCAAGAUGAACAGCGGUCUUUUUAUUCUGCCACACUGAUUGAUUUCCUAAAGGUCUUUUGGUGACAGUGUCUCCCGGAAGUACAGAAAAACCCCAAUAAUUGAUAUGGGAUUAUAUAAAUAAAAAUAAGAGAUUUUCACACCUGAAAAACGUUUCUCUGCAUUAUCACGUCUACCCCAAAUCUUUGGUGUGCAGCUCCAGAAUAGGGUAACCACAUACAGAAAGCAGUGAGCUUCUACAUGCCUGGAGAUGGAGAAGGAUGGGCUAUGCCGUGUCCUAUAAAGUUAACUUAAUUACUGCAGGCCAGAUUUUUCUCUUUAAGGAAUUUUUUUUUUUUUU
rnacentral:lncRNA from 1 species